rnacentral:lncRNA from 1 species
ACUUCCUUGAGGUUGUUAGCCUCUGCACUCUCCAUUCUUCUCAGUCUGCGCUUGGGGUUAUUUGGGGCCACCAAUCUGGAAACUCCUGCUUUUGCAGCAGGCACGUGGGCUAAGUUAGGCUUUCAUGGGGCCUCCAGACUCUGGAACCCAAGUAUCUCUGCCCUGGAGAGCCUGCCUGGAAACAACUAAUGGCGGGGAGAAGGACAGUGAGGAGGAGACGACAACAGCCAGAAGCAGCAGCUGACAUUUCCAUAGGCUUUGAGAUGCGCCCUCUCCCUGUGCGGCAGCUGCAACAGCUCGGUCCAGUCUUGAGCCAGGUGGUUGGCUGGGCAAUAGGGAUGGACCUGUCCUGUGUGAACACAGUCAUUCCAACGAGCCUCUUCCUGCAGGAGGCUGAGGGCGCAUCUGGCUGCGCAGUUCCACUCUGGGGUCGUCAGCAGCCCACCUCGGAACCUCUCAGAAUAGCUCUCUCUUCCUCCGCUGAGCAUGGAGGGGGCGGGGGCAGCACAUGGACUCUGCAGCCCAGCCACCCUCCAGGCCUUACGGCUGAGGGGCCAGCCCAGUGGGGCCGGGUGGCCGCAUCCGGCCCAACUUCCUCAGCAGCUCUGAGGCCGUUCACUUAUUAAAUAAUGCACAUUGUUGGAGCCUUAGUCAUGGCAGGAGGGCCAGAUAGUUCCUGCAUUAGUCAGGGGGUGCAUCCCUCCCCCCUGCCCUCCUCGGGGAUUGCUCUCUGGCUUGAAUUCACUGUUUGUUAUUUUUCCAAAGAACUUUCGCUUUUAGCUGGUGCCCGAGCCCACCCUGGAGGCCCUGAGCCCAGCCCAUGUGAAGCCCUGGCAGAGAGACCAGGCUGGGCCCGUGUGCCGCAGCAGAUGGGUGGACAGACAGACGGCCGGAUGGCCAGCUGGAUAGAUGGACACUCCAAGGGCUUGAGCAGUUGCCCAGGAGUGACUCAUUGUCCCUGUGCACUCUGGAGCUCACCCCACAGAUUCAGAAGCCCUGAGACCGUUUCCUGUAGAUAAGAGAUAUAUGGAAGGCAAACCUGACAGAAAGGGAAGAUGACAGCCGCGAGGCGCGAUAGGGUUUCCUUCGAAGCCCCCUUCUUCCUCAGUAACCAUGCCAAGCAGAUUUUCAACCACACUGAGGGAUUUCCUAGUCGAAAUAAACUUCCUCCCAUGUUAUCUGCA